GUGAGGUGGAGCAAAACUCAAAAACUUAGUCUCAGUUCGGAUUGUAGGCUGAAACUCGCCUACAUGAAGCUGGAGUUGCUAGUAAUCGCGAAUCAGCAUGUCGCGGUGAAUACGUUCCCGGGCCUUGUACACACCGCCCGUCACACCAUGAGAGUUGGCAAUACCCAACGUACGUGAUCUAACCCGCAAGGGAGGAAGCGUUCUAAGGUAGGGUCAGCGAUUGGGGUGAAGUCGUAACAAGGUAUC
rnacentral:rRNA from 1 species